GUACAACAUUUUUUAUAAUUUCCAAUAGUUUUAACAUCUUGCAUACAAUGAUACAAAUUCCUUUGAUUCAAUUAAAGGAUGUUCUCUGAAAAGUUAUAAAGAGACACGUCAUUUCUGGUUAUGGUGUCUUUGUGUUCUAUAAUUUUCCACUCUGAAAGCCAGGCUCUGUAGAAGGCAGCAUGGAGCACAAUGGCUUUGGGUGUGGGUAGGAUGUAUGAGUCAGAAAUGUCUUGGCUUGUUUUAACGUUCAGGUUUCUAUGAAUCCAUUCUGCUCUGGGAUUACACUGGCAUUAACCGAGUCUGUGCUUCAGUUAAAUAACCAUCUUAACUGAAGUUAAACAAUUGUGCAGUUGUAUUUCUCAAUCUGGUUGCUUUUAGCUGCAGAAAGAGUAAACUACAUUGAUUCAGGUUUCUAAGUGGUGCAACCGAAAAGUGUUUGCUCAAUCAUCUGGAAAUAGUUUAAAUUUUGACAAUGCCACAGCCAUCCAUAGCCAAGAAUCUAUGAGAGAUAAAUGGGAUGUGUUCUGUGGGUGAGAAGGAUGGAAUUAAUUUCUGCCCUGGUAAUAUAUGUGGCACCAGUCAUGGGUAUCUGAGAUCUCAUGCAUGGGGAAGUUGGAGCUGUGUAUCUUUCUAAAACUUGCCAUAUAAAUAAGAAGUUGCUCAGGACAGCUACGCUUUUCGAUCACCUUUAGAUCAGAAUCCCAGAAGAGUACACCAGAUUGCAGAAUUAAAUAAGGAACAUUAAUCAAGAUGGGGGACACCAGGAACAGAGAAAAUCGCAGUGAAGUGGAGUAAAGACAAUAAGCAAACAAACAAGAAAAGCAAGUUGAUCUAGGAUGAGAUCAUGGAAAGCCAAUGAGCAAACACAGGUGUUUUGGAGGCAGCGCAUGAUGUCAGGGACAACCGCAAACAAGGCCAGCAAUGCCUGACCCAGAGAAAGGCAAUGUUUGCUGCUGAUUCCCAGUUUAAGCUGACAUUUCAAGUCUGACUGCUUUUCUCUCCUCGACAGCCAGUAUUCAUGCUGCACGUUUGACAUUAAUAGAAAGAGCGGGAGAAAAGAGAAGAAAAAGGAAAUUGGUCCAGAGCAAGCACAGACAUGCUAACACUUUUGAGUGUACCAGUGGAUGGUAAAGUGUGAGGCGGAAAGUAAACUAAUUAAUGUUGUCCAGCCUCUCACUUUUCAAGACAAAACAAAUUUAUUUAUCUCAAGUGGGGCUAUUUAACUGACCUCCUGUGACAGAGGAAGUCAACAUACAGGUUAAAGCUUCUUGUAACACUGAAACGGUCAUUUGUUAGCACCCAGCUAUUGUACAGAGUAAAGAACUGGCUAGUGAGAAAGUGCUCAAGUGCUUAAUCAAGCAAAGUAAUUAUUGGUUUGGUUUAAAUAAAGGUCCAUUGUUAUUUCUUUCUGAGUUAACAUAACCCCUAAAUAAAUAUUGUGUUUAUUGAAUAACAACACAAAAAUGCUGGCUUAAUUUAUUUGUAAUGAGCACAUUGGUAGACAUCAGUGAGCGCUUUUCAUAUAUUUUAAGUAAUAAUUAGUCUGGUUUAAAUAAAGAGACAUU